UUUAUUCUUCUCUUACACUUCAACUUCCCAUUUAUUCUCUCUCUCACACUCCACUCUUUACAACACUCAAAAUCUCUCUUCCUCUCUCCAAACCCACGAAAUUCUCCAGCCAAGAACAGCUCUCAACCUUCAAAACUUCAUCUUCUAAGCUUGUUCUUCAAGGUAAUCACAAAAAUCCUUCAUUUUCCUUCAUUUUUCUUUCUUGUUUUAAAGGUUUUUCUUGUACUUCUCGUUCUUCUACACCAUUCUUUAUGAACAUUCAUGAACAUAUCCAUGAAUGUCGAGUUUGAUGAUGAUGAUGGUAAAGUUUCACCCAAGAACAACAUGCAUGUUGUUUAAUGGUGAAAUCCAAGGACCAAAACCUAUGGCAAACCCUAAAAUACGGAUUUUUACAAGUUGUAAAGGUUCAUAUACCUUAUGCAUUCAAGUAUUUCCUUUGAAAACAUCACUAUGACCAACAUAUGUCCAUACAUGGUCUUCAAACCAUGAUGCAUGUGAUGAACACCAAGCUAAAGAGCUUGGUGAUCAAAAUACAUUGUUAAUAGUGCAUGUAAAUGAUUUUAUUUAUAAAAAAAUCUAAAAUUCUUUUUCAGUUCGAAAUAAAAUUUCCCCAGAUUCCCAGUAAGAUGAUAUGAAUAUCUGGAAAAUCCCAAUAGUUUUUAUCAUUUCCUUGAUUUAUUAAAAUUGUUACAAGAAAACAAGGGCUUAAAUCAGGAUAAAAUACUUUCUGAGGUCUAUAAAUCCUAGAUCAAUUCGUAGAUGACCCCUAUGAUGAAUAUUGACCUCUCAUUAAGUUUCAUCUAUUUUUGUGGCUGUUUAGUAUGACUUUUGAGUUUCUUUUUUUUAGUCCCAAUAAAUCAUAAAACCACUUUAUAAAAUAUAAAAAUGAUGUAUAACAAUUUUCGAAGCUCCUACCACAGGUUCAAAACUCAGGAAAAUAUUUUCAGAGUUUUUGAUAAGGCAUUCCUAUUUUUCCCCAAUUUUUGUAUUUAUAAUGAACUAAAAACAAAACAAAUAGUUCUGCUCAUCCAAAAUACAUGCAAAUUUACCAGAACAUCUUAUAAUAUAUUAGGAUUCUAAAAACAAAUUUGUAUGAGUUUUCUAUACUGUAUGCUAUUUUUUUAUAUUUUCCUAAGAUUAAAUACACUUAAACCCAUUUCUUAUAAUAAUAAAUGCACAAAAAUCAUAAAAUUGGGUUAAACAGUUUGGAAAUCCAUUUUUAUAUUUUUCCCAGAUUAAUAAUGUUUAAUAACAGUAAUAGAAAAAGUUUGGGUAAUUUUAGAAACUUUUUGCUAUUUAUUUCAUUUUUUAUUAUAAUAAAUUUACAAAAAUUAUACAAUUGGGUUAAACGGCUUGUAAAUCAAUUUUUAUAUUUUUCCCAGAUUAAUAAUGUUUAAUAACAGUAAUAAAAAAAGUUUGGGUAAUUUUGGUAACUGUUUGCUAUUUAUUUCAUUUUUUAUUAUAAUAAAUGAACAAAAAUCAUAAAAUUGGUUUAAACAGUUUAGAAACUCAUUUAUAUGUUUUUCACAAAUUAAUUAUGUCUAAUGGAAGUAUUAUAAAAAGUUUGGGGAUUUUUAUCCUUUGGAUGCUAUUUUUCAUGAAUUUAUGUUGUUAUGAAGGCUUAAAAUUUUGGAAAAAUAGUUAAUCACAUCAAAAAUUCAAGGGAAAUUUUUUGGAAGACCUAUACUGUAUUUAGAAUGAAAAUACAAGGCUUGACAAUUUUUGGAAACUUUUUGAUAAUAUUUUAAACUUUUAGGAGUUUAAAACACCUUUAAAUAUGUUGAAAUACCCUCAACUAAUAUUACAAAAAUCUGGAAAAUUAAUAUCCAAAAUUGUCUUAAUCACAUGAGUUAUAAAAUUUUACCAUUUUAGAAAAAUUGUAACCAAUUAAUAUAAAACCAAUAUUAGAACAAAAAAAAAGGCAUUUCUCUAUAUGUAGAAUUUAGUAUAUUAGCAUUAGAUUUCGACAUAAAAACUCACUAGCCUGUGUUUGAUGUCGUAGGAUCCCGGUAGUAAGGCAUUGGUGUAUUCCGAGGCACCACUUGUACCUACUUGAAACAUGGUGAGUAUUCAUGACUCCCCUAUUUUCGGUUUUUAUGUUUUGGGGUGGAAAAGCAUGUCCGAAAAACUAUUUAUUGUUCGUUGUAUUUAAAUUGAUUUGUAUCAAACUUGAUUGCUAUAUUUUGCUAUAUCUCUCUAUGUAUGUCUAUGCAACACGGAACAUGAGAACUUAUCGUCUUAAGUCCCUUCCCUUACACUUUUCUCCAACCAUUAACUCUUUGAGCCAAUGGUCAUUAUGGAUAGCGCUAUUAGGAAUUGACAACUCCUCACUCGCCCGAUUGCUGGAGUGCAUGAUACCAUAUAAUCUAUGGAACGAUAAGCAUAGAUCUUGAUAGGGCAUCAGUCAUAGGCUUGGUUAGGAACUCAUUGUUUGCUCAUACACAUACAAACUUGUUAUUUAUUAUGGCAAUAAACUCGUUUAUCAAUUAUAGCAAUCAACUUUGUUUCUCAUUAUAGCAAUGAACUUGGUUUCUCAUUAAAGCAAUGUACUUGUAUUUAUGGAAAGUCUUAUACCAAAUGUUGAUUUUAUAAACUUGUGAACUCACCAACUAUUUUCAUAGUUGACACUCGUUUUACAUGUUUUUUCAGGAAAUAAUUAGUAAGUGUAUAUAAAGAUCCAUCAUCAUAGAGCAUGCUGCAACGUGUGGAAGUUAUUUUAUGAAGUUAUAUUUUGAACAAUGUGAUUUUCGAAAACUUGUACUUUGUUUUGUUUAAAUUAUGGGUUGUGAACUUUUAAAUAUUGCUAUGGUGAUGUAUCUUUUGCAAUGAAACCUUUAUCAUUGUCAUAUCUUGCGUUUCCGCUUUAGCGGGGUGUGACACGGGUAGACCCUCUGGUCCUACUCAGUAACUUAGAAUAAUACAUAGUACAAAUCACAUAGAAAUAGUACAAGAUAUCACGGUACUCAAAUAACACAUAAGACCCUCCGGUCACACACAACUCAUAAUACCACUCUAGGUACGUAUAGUGAGAAGCCUCACCUCGUAAGCUAGCAAGUAAAAUUCUCAUACUCAGAAAUCUCGAUCUAGC
rnacentral:lncRNA from 1 species